rnacentral:rRNA from 1 species
CAGCGCCACGGUAAUACGGAGGGUGCAAGCGUUAAUCGGAAUUACUGGGCGUAAAGCGCACGCAGGCGGUCUGACAAGUCAGAUGUGAAAUCCCCGGGCUUAACCUGGGAACUGCAUUGGUGACUGCAACGCUGGAGUGCGGCAGAGGGGGAUGGAAUUCCGCGUGUAGCAGUGAAAUGCGUAGAUAUGCGGAGGAACACCGAUGGCGAAGGCAAUCCCCUGGGCCUGCACUGACGCUCAUGCACGAAAGCGUGGGGAGCAAACAGGAUUAGAUACCCCAGUAGUCCCUGUCUCUUAUACA